rnacentral:lncRNA from 1 species
GGUGAGUCACCCAGCCUGCCACCUGGCAGACAGGAAUUACCAGUGGGAAGGACAGAGGAGGAUCUCCGCGGGGCCUAGAGGGCUCCGUCCCCUGAGCCGGGCCAGACCCCUCGCCCCCAUCCCUCUCCCUGCUCCAGCCAGGUACCUGCACGGUGGGAAAUGUGGGGACACCCCAAGCCCUCCCUGUCCAGGCCUGAUUUCUGCAAACCCACCUAGUACCCACCCGACAGCCCCCUGUGACCUCACGGGCUUUUUAACCUGCUCUUGUUCAGACUGGUUGCCGGAGCCGGGGGCUGGUGCCGGGUUUGGGUCUCCUGCUGUACCUGGCAGCGUGAAUCACGGGUUCUGGGGUUUCUUGGGGCCGUGUGAGGAUCACAUCAGGCACACCCAGCCUGGAGAACCUCUUUCAGGAACUGCGGACCUCAGAGAGGGCCUCGAGUCCCCCAGGAUAACUGGGGAUGCGACUGCCCCAAGGGGCAGCCCCAGAGCAGGAGGCCAGGACCUGGCGUAGCGUCCAGAGCCCCCCACCCUUGGACAGGCAGGGUCCUGAAGGAGCCCUGCCAGGCAGCGUGGGUCCCACUGCCCCGUGGCAGUGAGCAGGGCAGGCACAGCCCCCAACCGUCAUCAGACACAUCUCCCCAUCUCCAAGCCCCUCCUGCAUUGAGACCCCUCCUCCUCUGAGACCCCUCCCAGCCCAGGCAGUGGCCUGGGGUGACCUUGAACAGCCUUUGGCCUGUGCCUUGGUCUGCCCCUUUGGGUGCCUUCCAGCUGAGGAGCUCCUCCUGACCUCUCCUGGCUCCCAGGCCUCUUCAGGACCCCAGGUGGAGAGCCCUGUCCCUUGUCUUGGCUAUGAGCCCGGUGUCCAUCAGGAAAGGUUACUGCAGCCCAGCAGGGAAAUGCAGACCCAGCCAAGACUGCUGACCAGCUGCCAGCCUGUCCAUCUGCCAUGCCUGGGCACAGGGAGUAGGCUGUCCCCCUGCCCUCCUGUCCUCUCUCACCCAAGCCCUCCUUCAGGUGGCUGCUUCCUUCGCCCCCAGGGCCAUGCUCUCUCCCUGGGCUCUGCCUCUGCCCCGAGACACCAGGGUCCUUAACAAGGAGAGGACCCCUGGAGCAGUGUGCUGAGGCUCGGCCGGGUCAGGUGAGUGGGCUUGGGUCUGCCCCUUGCCUUGAGCAGGCUCCUCAGUGCUGGACCUCGCCUGCCCCCUUGCUCACCCUCCUGAGAGGUGGAUGCUGUUCUGUCCCCAGUGGACAGAUGAGGGACGGGGGCUCAGAGUGAGGGGCCUGUCUGCCCAGGCCCUGCAGCCGGGGAGGGCGGAGCUGAGCCUCGGGGGGCGGGGGCAGCCUGGCCCAGACUCUCCAAGCAGCCCUGCCACAGCUUCUGGUGGAGCAGGGGACAGAUCAGUCUCUUUCUUUGCGAAAUGGUGGCCCAGGCAUGCCACUCCUGAGCGCGCUCAGAAGGUUGCCAACUGGGGCCUUGAUGGCUGCACACCAGCGUCCAGUGCUGCACUGUCCAUAAGAGCCCGACGGUGGCAGCACCUAGUACCCCCCGAGGUGACUGCGUGACAAAGCGGCUAGGUCCAGAUGACAGAGUGUAGCCUCAAAAAGGAAGACAUUUGACACAGGUCACAACAUGGGUGCUCUCUGAGGAUCUGGACUGAGCAGGACAGGUGUCGUGAGACUCUGCUUACACGAGUGUCCAGAGCAGGCAAAUUCCCCCAUCAGCAAGUGGGUCAGUGGGUACCAGGACUGGGCCAGGGGAGCCACUGCUCAAUGGGGACAGGGCCUCGGCUGGGAAGACGGAAGCCCUGGGUGGACAGGUGUUGGCCGAGCAGCAUGGCACGUGCAGCAUGGGCGCUCCGGGCUCGACCUGUGCAUUCCAGAAUGCUCCGAGGGGCCAGGCACGGUGGUGCACCCCUGUGAUCCCGGCAGCGGGAGACUGAAGCAGGUGGAUCACAGGUUCAAGGCCAGCCUCAGCAACUUUGCAAGACCCUGUCUCAAAAUUUAAUAAGAAUUUUAAAAGGGC